rnacentral:lncRNA from 1 species
GCGCAUCAAUGAGUUGAAAAGUGCCCAAAGAAAAGAAAUUGAGCAUUUGUUAAAAAUUGGAGAACGAGAGUCCGGAAGUGGUGCUAAUCAGAUUGGUAAUUUGCAACGAGCCGGAAGUACUCGUUGGUCUUCUCAUUACAGCUCUGUAAAGAGUUUGAUUGAUAUGUAUGCUGCAACUUGCAAGGUGCUUGAGUAUCUUAGUGAUCAUUCUCCAAGUACAAGAUCUCGAUCCGAGGUUGGUGGUGUAUACAAAACCAUAACAACAUUUGAAUUUGUGUUUAUCUUGCAUUUAAUGCGUAGAAUAUUAGCAAUUGCGGAUGUUCUUUGUCAGUCCCUCCAAAAGAAAACUCAAGACAUCUUAACUGCUAUGAGAUUUGUCCGUACUACAAAAACUAUCCUUCAAGCAUUGAGAGAAGAUGGCUGGGAAGAAUUUCUUGAAGAAGUGAAGUGUUUUUGCUCAAAAAAUGAUAUACAUGUACCUGACUUUGAUGGUUCGUAUAUGGUUGGUCGUUCUCGUGGUCGUGAGUAUCCUACCAUUGAACAUCAUUACCACUUUGAUAUUUUCAAUGCAGCUAUUGACUUUCAGAUGAUGGAGUUAGAUACAAGAUUUAAUGAGACAUCAAUAGAGCUCCUUUCUCUCAGUACAGCUUUGGAUCCAAAAAAUUCUUUUGAAUCAUUUAAUAUGGAUAAUAUUUGCAAGCUUGCAGAGAAGUUUUAUCCUGAAGAUUUUAAACAGCAAGAUAUUUAUUGUUUGAAAGUUGAGUUGCAACACUAUCAAAAUGAUGUGAUUUCUGAACCUCGAUUUCAAGUACCUACACUUUCUGAUUUAUGUCGGGAAUUAGUUGCAAGCAGAAAGUCGGAGAGUUACGUCAUUUUGACUAAAUUGAUUUGUUUAGUACUGACACUACCUGUUUCAACGACGACUGUGGAGCGAGCUUUUUCAGCAAUGAAACAUGUGAAAACGGAAAUUCGUAACAAAAUGGAUGAUGGCUUUCUUGCUGAUUGUUUAACACUCAACAUUGAACGAGAAUUUAGUAUGAAUUUAGAUCUAGAUUCUAUUAUAGAUGAAUUUUAUGCUGUAAAACAUCGUCGAGUACAACUUCAAUAGGUAACUUAUAUUAUAAAUUUUUCUUAUUAUAUAUAAAUUUUAUUCGUACAUUAAAUUUUUUAAAUUUUUAGCCCAUCGUAACAGUAAUUUCUGGCUCCGCCCCUGACAAU